rnacentral:rRNA from 1 species
AGUGAACGCUGGCGGUAGGCCUAACACAUGCAAGUCGAACGGCAGCACAGUAAGAGCUUGCUCUUACGGGUGGCGAGUGGCGGACGGGUGAGGAAUACAUCGGAAUCUACUUUUUCGUGGGGCUUAACGUAGGGAAACUUACGCUAAUACCGCAUCCGACCUACGGUUGAAAGCAUGGGAUCUUCGCACCUUCCGCGAUUGCAUGAGCCGAUGUCGUAUUUGCUAUUUGGCGGGGUAAAGGCCCACCAAGGCGCCGCUCCGUAGCUGGUCUGAGAGGAUGAUCAGCAACACUGGAACUGAGACACGGUCCAGACUCCAACGGGAGGCAGAAGUGGGGAAUAUUGGACAAUGGGCGCAAGCCUGAUCCAGCCAGACCGCGUGGGUGAAGAAGGCCUUCGGGUUGUAAAGCCCUUUUGUUGGGAAAGAAAAGCAGCAGGUUAAUACCCCGCUGUUCUGACGGUACCCAAAGAAUAAGCACCGGCUAACUUCGUG